rnacentral:lncRNA from 7 species
CUUUGACAGGGCAAACUGCCUCUCCUUCAAAUGGAACUUCUUUGAAAUUAAAACCCAUAUCAUUAAAAAAGGAAGAAGACUUGGAUGAGCAGGAUCCUUGGAUCCUGGUUGAAUUCAAGAACAAAAAGAAGGCCAAGCAGACUAAAAUCCAACUAGAUUAUCUGGGAACCUCAGAUCCUCUAGAAUUAAGAUAGGAGGAUCUCGAGGAAGCUUACCAGCUAAUUCCUAUUAAUAGAAUAAAACCAAACAGGAGAAAGUAUGGAAAGCAAACAGAAGAGCCUUCCCUUGUCAUAGUCCCCGAGCUCCAGCAGGAGCUUACCAGCCUGCCACUGGGAUGCAAAGCAGAAAGCUACUCUAAGGACAGUGCCUUGUAAGUGCAUUGCAGAGAAGAGGCAAGCUGCUUUUAGUAGAGUUGUCCCAUAUGAGAUGCCAGGAAGGUUUUGGUGUGUACAGUAACAUGGAUCACCCUGACUGCAGUUGCCAAAUGUCUUUCCUUCCACCCUACUGAAACAACUUGCUGCCUCCAGGUGCCCAUCACUGUGGGGACAAGCAGUCAGCAUCACCAAAAGCUGGAGAAGUGGACCUCAGCCAUAAAUAAAGCUUAAUGCAUUAUUGAUGUGGGGAGACUAAAAGGAGCUACAAGGAAGGAAAAGACAACAGGAUUGGCUGUAGAGAAUAGAGGAAGUUACAUGAAUGUCAUACAGACCAACACACCCUGUUUUGAGGGGAUCACACCUGAGCCAGUGGCUGCUACUCUUGUAGCAUACACUGCAUGCAUCACUUGUAGUGACUGCACUCAAGGAAUGGCUGUACACGUCACAGAAUACAUUUCCUACAAGUGCAUUGGUCUUACCUACGUCUGCUUGCCCACUUAUUUGGUGACGUUGGUCCCAACAUGCUAAUCGCUACUGCAGAAGCUUUCCCUGUCCUAAAAAUACUUCUCAGUUUCAUCUCUUGUGUGAACACUGGAAGACAGUGUCUGCUGAUUAAGUAAGCAAAUGGUGAUGUGCCUUCAAGAGAACAUGAUUCAAAACUACAGCAAAUAUAUAUAUCUAUAGGAUUCACAAGGAGAAGGAGGAACACAUGAAUGACAAGGAAAUGUGUGUGUAUGGGGCAUUUGGCUCACACAGUUCUGUACCCACUGCUUUAAUACACCUAAUGUAUUAUGCUGUUUUGUUAAGGGUGAGAAGAUGAAUGAUGUCCACUACACUGGCAAAGCCACGAGGGUACCCAAAGCAGAGAGGAGCAAUGCAGUGUGCAGCAGCCAUACAUAUGGGCGUAGGCUCUGUGGUUCACACAGAAAGCACACCACAGGCAGUACAAGGACUCUUCUUACCCUUAGCCUUCCAUUAUUCAGGAAUGCUCUAGACUUCUUACCACGAAAGCAGUUGCUCAGUGUAAAGCUAGACUCAAGUUGGCAAAAACCCCACUUUCUCUCCGUGCAGCUUGUAGUUACCUCCAUCCACAUUCAUCCCACUCCACCACUUUUACCUCCUCUGCUACAGACACAUCAGCCUCUCUAGCUCAGCAAUCAAGCAUACAGAGUUGACAAGCAAACAAGGGGGUAUCUCAACUCUUUCAGAGGUGUUACUGUAACUCUCUAAGACCAAUUGAACCUUGCCCUCCUCCACUUGUGUUUCCCUUUCCCCUUUAAUUAGUGCGUUUUAUAAAGCAAGUUUUUCCUAUGUAUGGAGAGGGUUCAGAUGUCAUCAGCAUCACCUGCCUCCAGAGACCUGUUCCAAGCACGCUUCCCUAGAGGCACUGUGCACAGAGUCACUCAUCAGCACUGUUUGCUGGGAGUCACAGAAACCAACAGACUGAGUGAAACCUGACAGACAGAGGAAGCAAAACUCAGGGUAAUUGAGGAAUAAAUAGAAAGAAAUUCUCAGAAAUUGUUCAUUGUGUAGAACGUCUCUCAUCUGAAACCUUCAGGAAACAGGAAAUAGUGAAUAAUGAAAUAACCCCGAACCGCUGAUUCUUCUCAC